rnacentral:rRNA from 1 species
UACGAAGGGGGCUAGCGUUGCUCGGAAUUACUGGGCGUAAAGGGCGCGUAGGCGGCUUUUUAAGUCGGGGGUGAAAUCCUGGAGCUCAACUCCAGAACUGCCUUUGAUACUGAAGAUCUUGAGUUCGGGAGAGGUGAGUGGAACUGCGAGUGUAGAGGUGAAAUUCGUAGAUAUUCGCAAGAACACCAGUGGCGAAGGCGGCUCACUGGCCCGAUACUGACGCUGAGGAGCGAAAGCGUGGGGAGCGAACAGG